UGGGGAAUUUUACACAAUGGGGGAAACCCUGAUGUAGCAACGCCGCGUGGAGGAUGACGGAUUUAGGUCUGUAAACUCCUUUUAUAAGGGAAGAAGUUUGACGGUACCUUAUGAAUAAGCACCGGCUAACUCCGUGCCAGCAGCCGCGGUAUUACGGAGGGUGCAAGCGUUACUCGGAAUCACUGGGCGUAAAGGGAGCGUAGGCGUUUUAUUAAGUCUUGAGUGAAAGCUCGCAGCUCAACUGCGGAACUGCUCAGGAAACUGAUAGAAUUGCGUAUGGAAGAGGUAGGUGGAAUUUCCGGUGUAGGGGUAAAAUCCGUAGAUAUCGGGAGGAAUACCAGAAGCGAAGGCGACCUACUGGGAAAUUACUGACGCUGAGGCUCGAAAGCGUGGGGAGCAUACA
rnacentral:rRNA from 1 species